ACGUGGGAACCUGCCUUUCGGUUCGGGAUAACGUCUGGAAACGGACGCUAACACCGGAUACGUCCUUCGGGAGAAAGUUUACGCCGAGAGAGGGGCCCGCGUCCGAUUAGGUAGUUGGUGGGGUAAUGGCCCACCAAGCCGACGAUCGGUAGCUGGUCUGAGAGGAUGAUCAGCCACACUGGGACUGAGACACGGCCCAGACUCCUACGGGAGGCAGCAGUGGGGAAUAUUGGACAAUGGGGGCAACCCUGAUCCAGCAAUGCCGCGUGAGUGAUGAAGGCCUUAGGGUUGUAAAGCUCUUUCGCACGCGACGAUGAUGACGGUAGCGUGAGAAGAAGCCCCGGCUAACUUCGUGCCAGCAGCCGCGGUAAUACGAAGGGGGCGAGCGUUGUUCGGAAUUACUGGGCGUAAAGGGCGCGUAGGCGGCCUGUUUAGUCAGAAGUGAAAGCCCCGGGCUUAACCUGGGAACGGCUUUUGAUACUGGCAGGCUUGAGUUCCGGAGAGGAUGGUGGAAUUCCCAGUGUAGAGGUGAAAUUCGUAGAUAUUGGGAAGAACACCGGUGGCGAAGGCGGCCAUCUGGACGGACACUGACGCUGAGGCGCGA
rnacentral:rRNA from 1 species